UCUGAUAGAACAAUCCGGUAACUGAAUAAGGUCUCCGGAUGUAAGUCUUUGUUCAGGUAGAACUGUUCCUUCGAAUACCGGACGGACUGUACGUCCCCACAGGAAUCCCGGCUAAUUCGUGCCCAGCAAGCCGCUGGUAUAUUAUAGGUGGGCAGCGGAGUCGGAUUAUUGGGGUUAAAUGCGCGGGUAGGAGGGUUAUGUAAUUUCGAGUGUUAAAGGCCGGGGCUCAACCACCGAAUCGCAUCGGAAACUGGCGUAGCUUGAGUGCAGAAGAGGAAUAGCGGUAAUGCACGCGUAGCGGUGAAAUGCGUAGAGAUAUGGAGGAACAUCAGUGGCGAAGGCGGCUUUCUGGUCUGUCACUGACGCUGAGGCGCGAAAGCGUGGGGAGCAAACAGGAUUAGAUAUCCUGGUAGUCACGCCGUAAUACGAUGAGUGCUAGGUGUUGGGGGCUUCGAUAGCCUCAUUGCCGCAGGUAACGCAAUAGACAAUCCCCCUGGGGAGUACGCUCGCAAGAAUGAAACUCAAAGGAUUUGACGGGGGCCCCCCCAGGCGUUGGAGCUUGUGGUCUAAUUCGAAGCAACGAGAAGACCCUUACCAGGUUUUGACAUCACGCUGUCCACCAGGGAGACAGAGCUUCCGUUCGGAGCAAGGGUGACAGAUGGUGCAUGGUUGUCGUCAGCUAGUAUCGAGGAAUAGGGUUAAGUCCCGCAACGAGCGCAACCCUUAUCCUUAGUCCCAGCAUUCAUUUGGGCACUCUAGGGAGACUGCCGUCGACAAGACGGAGGAAGGCGGGGAUGACGUCAAAUCAUCAUGCCCCGUAUGACCUGGGUUUCUCACGUGCUACAAUGGUUGGUACAACGGGACGCUACCUCGCGAGAGGGCGCCAAUCUCUGAAAACCAAUAUCAGUUCGGAUUGUAGGCUGCAACUCGCCUGCACGAAGUCGGAAUCGCUAGUAAUCGCGGAUCAGCAUGUCGCGGAGAAUACGUUCCCGGGCCUUGUACACACCGCCCGUCACACCACGGGAGUGGGCAACUCCAGAAGUCGGUGAUGUAACCGCAAGGGGCCAGCCUCCCAAGGUGGGGUAGAUGACUGGGGGAAGUUGUAUUAAGGUUCC
rnacentral:rRNA from 1 species